CAAGACAACUUUGCACAGUUGACGAUUGACGGAGCGGAGCGACGUGAAAGCGUUUUACAACGUUGAGUUGGCUUAGGGAUACGUUCGUUGGGUAGGGGAGCGUUCUGUAAGCCUGCGAAGGUGUGCUGUGAGGCAUGCUGGAGGUAUCAGAAGUGCGAAUGCUGACAUAAGUAACGAUAAAGCGGGUGAAAAGCCCGCUCGCCGGAAGACCAAGGGUUCCUGUCCAACGUUAAUCGGGGCAGGGUGAGUCGACCCCUAAGGCGAGGCCGAAAGGCGUAGUCGAUGGGAAACGGGUUAAUAUUCCCGUACUUGGUGUUACUGCGAAGGGGGGACGGAGAAGGCUAUGUUGGCCGGGCGACGGUUGUCCCGGUUUAAGCGUGUAGGUGUGUGUUCCAGGUAAAUCCGGUUCACUUUAACACUGAGGCGUGAUGACGAGGCACUACGGUGCUGAAGCAACAAAUGCCCUGCUUCCAGGAAAAGCCUCUAAGCAUCAGGUAACACGAAAUCGUACCC
rnacentral:rRNA from 1 species